rnacentral:rRNA from 1 species
GAUGAACGCUGGCGGCGUGCUUAACACAUGCAAGUCGAACGAAGCUGUUAAAAGGAAGUCUUCGGAUGGAAUUUUAACAGACUUAGUGGCGGACGGGUGAGUAACGCGUGGAUAACCUGCCUUAUACAGGGGGAUAACGGAGAGAAAUUUCCGCUAAGACCGCAUAAGACCACAGCACCGCAUGGUGCAGGGGUAAAAUAUUAAUAGGUAUAAGAUGGAUCCGCGUCCGAUUAGCUAGUUGGUGAGGUAGAGGCUCGCCAAGGCGACGAUCGGUAGCCGGCCUGAGAGGGUGAACGGCCACAUUGGGACUGAGACACGGCCCAAACUCCUACGGGAGGCAGCAGUGGGGAAUAUUGGACAAUGGGGGAAACCCUGAUCCAGCGACGCCGCGUGAGUGAAGAAGUAUUUCGGUAUGUAAAGCUCUAUCAGCAGGGAAGAAAAUGACGUACCUGACUAAGAGCCCCGCA